rnacentral:lncRNA from 1 species
UCUUCAGGAUGGGAGUGUAUUGAUUAUAUAUGAAUUCUGCAUUCAUUUUUGCCACUGGGACGAGUGCAACCACAUUCAUAUACUUUCCUCCAGCAGGCUUGACAUGAAUGUGAGAUAUGUUUUGGUCAUUUGAUUAUCCUAACAACCAAGGCACUUGCCUCUCACAAACUCAUCUCUUUCUGCUGAGUACACCUCAUCAAUAAUGAGAGUAACAUUGAGUUCUCUGCUAUUCAAGCAAUCCUGUCUCUACAAUAGUCAAUACACUUGACAGAGCUCUGAGAUGCUUGGGAAAAGGAAUUGUAAGAAGAUUCCAACUAUAUAUUUGAUUAUAGAGGGAUGUGCUCACGUUUUGCCGCAGGACACCAACAGAGAGAAGACAUAGUAAGUAUCUCCUAGCGUUCGGGCUCUUGAAGAGUAGCGCCAUCUGCUCCAUGAUAAAAGCGAGCUUUAAUAAUUGAGCUGGUUCCAAGUCUGAGGAUUCUAAUAGUCUAUGUAAGAGGGUGAUGAUAACUUAAUACACUUCAUUGUUAUUCAAUUCCUCCUUGAUCCAAUAUAUGGAACUAUGAUGAUUACUUCUGUAACAGAUUUAAUCUUCCCAAGCAUUAAGCAAAGUAGCGCAUCGAAGGCUAAUGUCAUUAUUAGCCAAAAAAAAUAUCUUGGUCAAAAUUGACAUACUUUGUCCACUGGGGUAUUUUUAUUUCAAGCAUUUUGGAGAAUCCUUUCCUGAUCUCUCUUGAAUAAGUCAAGUACUGUAUUGUUUCUACUUUUUAUUUGCGUCAUUAUUCAUAUACUUUUUGCUUGAACAAUUAUGGAAAGGGAAUUAUGAUUCAAAAUGAUUUUCACAAUCAGAAUGAUCAGUAGGUUUCCAAUUUGGAAGAUAUUUAAGAUUUGAUACCCUUUUUUUUUCUUACGACUUCUUUUGGAUUUUUGGAAAUGGGAAAUUUAAAAAAGUGAACGUUUACUUGAAGCUUUUGGAAAUUUGACUCAGUUCUAUUAUUGCAUCCUCAGACACUACAAUGACCCAUUAUUUUUGUGUAAUUUGUUUCAAAUUUGCAUUAUAAUAAUAAGUAAACAUAAAAUAUUUUAGAUAAGAAUAAAUUAUAUACGAAUUAUUACUAAUUAAGACUGAGUAGCAAGAUUCUUAUCGACACAUCUUAUAAUAGCCACCUUGCGUUAUAAUAGUCUAUUAUUCCUUGCUCAAUAUUAUAAUCGAGAUUCAAAGAUUAUCAAUCAAUACAUAUUUCUGUCAAAAAAAUUAUUCCGCAAUUUUCUUCCGUACGCAGCCCGGGUGGCCUUCAUUUUGUCCGUAAGGAUACGUAUUUUGUAGAAGUCGUACGACUUCAUCCUCAGGUCAUUGUUUAUUUCCAUGGAUACUUUAGUACGGCUUACUUAGCUCUUUUUUGCAAGAACGUUAAUCGGAGUCUCCGAAAAUGCCUUCACGGACCGUUUCAGGCCAAUGAGGAAUCUGGAAGUGCGUUUUUUAUCCCUCUUGGACUUAUGGUUUUUUUUUAUAUGCCUCUCCUCCUUGUAGUGGUUGUAGACGUCGUAGACUGUUCUCUUUGGAUACUACAAGCCAAUUCGAUGAUGGCGUUCCUUCGGGUCUCCUCCAUCAUAAAUACUUGUUUUGAAUUAAAAGUUGUGCAACUAACUUAACGCUAACGUUCAACCUCUCUGAGUCCAAUAAUGUCUAUCUCAGUCGAUCAAUUUAAAAAAAAAAAUUAUUUGAUAGACAUAGUUCUAAAGUUUAUCGGAUCAUAACCGUAUUUUACCGGAGAUAUCCUGAAGUGGGAGAAAAUUAACUUUCUUUAAAGACAAAUUUUAAAAGUAUUUAAACUCAUUUUUUUUUUAACAGAGAUGUAACCGGGAAAAAAAGUAUUAGUAGCCAUUGAUAAAUUAGUUAUUACAAAAAAAUUAAAACAAAAAUUACACAGAGUUAUAGUUCGGUUUAUAAAGAAUAGUUAGUUGAAAAAAAACAAUCAAAAUUCGCAGAGUAAUUAGUCAUAGAAAAAGUGGAUAUGUAAUUUUUUUUUGUAAAUAAUAGGAAAACCUAUAACGGUAAUUAUGACAAUUUUAUUUUGGCGCCUUUUAUGUUUGUAGCACCUAGGAGAUCUGAGAUACACUGCCUCUUGGCUUUUUGCUCACCCAUGAGCCAUGAUGACUAAAUCUGUAUUAUCGUUUGUUUGUCAGUAUGUCAAAAAAUUAUCACUAAAACCUUCCUGAGAAUGAGAAAAUUGACAUUAAUUAACAGCCCACAUUUUGCUGCCCAACCCUGUGUAUGAACUGAAAACUAAAAUACACCUAUUUCACCCUCACGGUAUUCCUGAUUCGUAAUUGAAAUAUUUGAAGAUAUUAGAGAGCUUUAAUUUAAAAUAUACAUAAUAUGUUAAUAUUUGUUGUUUAUUUAUAUUUAAUAUGUUAUUAAAGAUGAGCAAUUUUAAUAAAAAUUUGAAAAAAAAAUACGUAAAAAAUAAAAAGGGCGAUGACUUUUGGUGGAGCAAAGUAGAACUAUGCCUUAUUGUCCUAUAGACCCGUUCCUAUUGUCUAUAUAGUUUUUCUUGAAUUUUGUAGAGUAUGAUUUUAUAGUUCUACUUCACCAAUACUCCAUUAAAAAAUGACCUAAAGACUACGACAAAUGAUACUGGCAAUUGGGAAGAUAAUUCUACUUUGC